GGAGGGGUGGCUGAGUGGUCGAAAGCACCGGUCUUGAAAACCGACGAGUCGUAAGGCUCCCAGGGUUCGAAUCCCUGCCCCUCCG
rnacentral:tRNA from 2 species